rnacentral:rRNA from 1 species
AUGGGAGCUUGCUCCCUGAAGUCAGCGGCGGACGGGUGAGUAACACGUGGGCAACCUGCCUGUAAGACUGGGAUAACUCCGGGAAACCGGGGCUAAUACCGGAUAAUUCUUUCCCUCACAUGAGGGAAAGCUGAAAGAUGGUUUCGGCUAUCACUUACAGAUGGGCCCGCGGCGCAUUAGCUAGUUGGUGAGGUAACGGCUCACCAAGGCAACGAUGCGUAGCCGACCUGAGAGGGUGAUCGGCCACACUGGGACUGAGACACGGCCCAGACUCCUACGGGAGGCAGCAGUAGGGAAUCUUCCGCAAUGGACGAAAGUCUGACGGAGCAACGCCGCGUGAGUGAUGAAGGUUUUCGGAUCGUAAAACUCUGUUGUUAGGGAAGAACAAGUACCGGAGUAACUGCCGGUACCUUGACGGUACCUAACCAGAAAGCCACGGCUAACUACGUGCCAGCAGCCGCGGUAAUACGUAGGUGGCAAGCGUUGUCCGGAAUUAUUGGGCGUAAAGCGCGCGCAGGCGGUUCCUUAAGUCUGAUGUGAAAGCCCCCGGCUCAACCGGGGAGGGUCAUUGGAAACUGGGGAACUUGAGUGCAGAAGAGAAGAGUGGAAUUCCACGUGUAGCGGUGAAAUGCGUAGAGAUGUGGAGGAACACCAGUGGCGAAGGCGACUCUUUGGG